rnacentral:ncRNA from 1 species
GCGCGAGUCAUAAGCUCGCGUUGAUUACGUCCCUGCCCUUUGUACACACCGCCCGUCGCUACUACCGAUUGAAUGAUUUAGUGAGGUCUUCGGACCGACACGCGGUGGCUUCACGGCCGUCGGCGUUGUUGGGAAGUUGACCAAACUUGAUCAUUUAGAGGAAGUAAAAGUCGUAACAAGGUUUCCGUAGGGGAACCUGCGGAAGGAUCAUUA